rnacentral:misc_RNA from 1 species
GGCAUUGCUUGCCUAGUUCUUUCAUCAACAAAUCCAUACCUUCCAGGUAUCUUCCCAGCAUGUACAUUAGAAGAAGCAGCUGCAGCUGCAGCAUGAGAAGCUGCAGUUGUUGUUUCAGCAGCAGCUAGAUCUUCAGCAACAAGUAGAUCAUCAAGCAACACCCCUCCACGCAAACCACCAUAUAUAAAUAUCAAGUCACCAACUGCAGCAGCUGCAUGUCUGCAACGCCUGGUCAACUCAACUGCAGCAUCCCCACCAGCAGCAUCAGCACUGUAUCUGCCAGUCCUUGGACUAGUAACAACAGAUUUUGUAUCACACCAAACUCCUGCUGCAGUAUCCAACACUGCAACACUUGAUGAAUCUUCUACCAUGCGACCGCCACCAAGUGCACCUCCAGACACAUGGAGUCUUGCAUUAACAAAAACCGCUGCAUGUUGAUAUCUUGGAGAUGGCGAGACACCAGGAGCAAUUGCCCAUUCCCAACGACCAUCCCUAUGUUUUGCAAGGCCAUAAGCACUUGCCAAUGGCACACUAUUUGCAUCCCUCCCCCCACAGAGCAGAAGAAGACCAUCUGAGCGGGCACUUGCAGUGGCAUACAUGCAUGGUGGUGGACCUUCUCCUUCAGGUUCCAGUUUACGCCACUCAUAAGGCUUGGCAGCAGUGUCAAGGGCCCAAACAUCAGAUAAAGGACGCUUCCCAUCAUUCCCUCCAAUUGCCAUGAGAUACCUUUGGCCCACCAAAGCCAUCACAUGCCCAUAUCGCGGCCCCGGUCCAGGGCCUUGAACAACAACUCUGUG